rnacentral:pre_miRNA from 1 species
CUCAUACUCCCUCCGUUCGGAAUUACUUGUCGCAGAAAUGGAUGUAUCUAGACGUAUUUUAGUUCUAGAUACAUCCAUUUUCACGACAAGUAAUUCCGAACGGAGGGAGUAAUAA